AGCUUUAGUACAAGUGUGCUGUUUAAAUGUUUUGCAGAAUAAGAGACACCAAUGAAUGACUUCAGCAACUGGACUUUCUGCUUGUUGGUUCCUAUUUCAUGGGCCCUGCUGAUGCUGUAUAGGCCUUUGUUGUGUGUGGAAAAGAAAUCAUUUGGAGCUAUCCCGCUAGUAACAGCACAGAAGGGAGGCAGAGCUGCUGCUACAGAGCUGAUGGUCCUGAGGCAGUUCAUUGUGCAUGGAGAGUCAUUUACUGGAUGUUUCUUGGAUCCUUCGGAGUGAAUGGAUGUCCAGGUAGUAGGAUAGGACAAGAAAAUGGCAAAAAAGAGGAGCCCCAAGUGUCAAACUAGCCUUGAGACUUCUCUAAUUCCUUCAUGAGAAACUGGCGGGGAUCUUGCAAAGCAUUUAUUCAUCUCUAACAGCGCUCCUACAUCCAAGGAAGCAAGCAGAGCCUGGAAAGGACUUUUUGUCACACUGACACAAGUCACAAGAAAUCUGGGCAGUGUGCAAACAACAUCAAGAACAGGGCAGGACCUUCUUCCAAGCCCAGCCUGCACUGACACAUGGAGGAGGAGGCACAGACAUCUGGUGACCCAGGCGAUUGCUUAAUGUGGUUCCCCAGAGAAGUGUCAGCAAGUGCAUGGACAGGAACUGGCAAACAGUUCCACCAGACCAUGCUGGCCUAGCACAUCAUGGAAAAAGUGAAGAAUGAUUCAAGCUGGCUCUGUUUUCUGUACCCAUGGGCCUCCUGGCAGAUGCACAGGAAUAACCAUAUCUACCAAAAAGAACAUCAUUUUGCUAUGGAUGCUGCAAAUCACACAUGUGACUCCUCUCUCCUAACCCUGUUAGGGAGAGGCAACAAUUUUCUGUGUGCCAACAAGAAGUUGAUUUCAAAAUCUCCAAUUACACAAAUAUACAAAUAUAUAUUUGCCAGCAGAUUUUUGUUUGGAAAAAUCCAGCACUUUAAUUACAUAGAUACCAUAACUCCCUAUUUUUACAUAAAUGUGAUUACUGCAAUUUCUUCAUUAGGGAAUAGUUUCACUAUUUAAGAAAAUGUUAUUUAAAGGCGUGGUGUUAUCUGUUUAUCCCACAGUGUUAACACCCCUGCAAAACAUAAGCAAACACUUGAAUGCUUUCCUCCUAGCAACCAAGGUCUCUCACAUCAGAAAAGCAGCAUACUUGUCUUUUUCUGUACCUCGUAUUGAGCCAAAUAUCUAGUUUACAACCCUUUGGCCAUUCAAUAACCAACAGAUUCUUAGAAUAUAAUUUUAGGUGAAAGUCUAAACCAGUGGCUAUGGUCCUAAGGCCAGAUUUUCAGGCUUUUGUGUAUUCCCUUACUUCUGCAGAUAAAAAUACUACAAAAUUAAUCUUAGGAACUAAGCUUCUUUACAUUUGAUAACCUGCUGCAGGACUUAACUCUUCAAAUUACCAGCAGCUUUCAUGAAGUGCCAAGUUUCUGCAAUUCCCACUAUGGUGAGUCUAAAACACAGAUAUUGAGUAUUGCCUUGGGAUCUCACUCUGUCUUACCAGGCUGGGAUAAUGGUGCUGUUUUUACUGAAGAAAUGGGGGAUUUCGGAUCUCUUGAAAUCUUUUCAGAAUAUUGGGGACCCAAAAACCCCAAACAAACCAGCAAAUACACUAUCAGAAUCCUCUCCUUGUCUACUUCCUUCUUUCCUUACAUAAGGGUAAGUUCUCCUUUCUUUUCUUUUCUAAGGGAGAAUUAUGGUAUCCUUUCUAACUCUUUAAGAAAAACAGAGAAGCACCUGAGAAAUCUGUCUUCCAAGGAAAAGAUGAAAGAUAUAGCUAAGUGAGAGGAUGUGUCCUUCUCAACACUGACAGUGUGGUCAAAGAGACAGCUCCCCCUGACUUCUCCCUGAAGAGUUCACAGACAACUGUCCAGAAGAGCGCCCGGGCUCGCCGGCAGCUCUGCUAACAGCAGGAAUCACUGCAGCACUCUGGACUGCUGCUGCCGUGUCAUUCCAGUGCUCUGGGGUCACCUGAGUGCAUUAAAUUAACACUGUUCCCAGGCAAAGCAAAGUGUCUGGGAACAGGAUUGUACAGCAUAACAAUGUGGAUAGGAGGGGCAGAUACACACCUAAAUAUGAAAUGAUUGGAAGGAGUGGGGAGCCGAUUCUGACCGACAUGACUUAGUGCCAAAUGCACGUUCUCACACAGAUCUCCCAGCAGAUUAUGUGUCUCUUCAUCACCACUUAACAUUUUUAUAGCUUAUUUCAGUAUUUCUGCAUUUGUUUCACCUGCAAUAAUUUAUUUAUGAGUUUAAGAUUAUUAAAAAUUUGAAGCUUCAUUACAAACUAUCCUGGGGGAAGCUCACCUGCCUCAUCCUACUACAUUAUUAUUACCAAGUGUCUAAUUUAUAUUUAAUCAGACAUCAAUUGAACAUCAAUAAAAUAAUAAUGAAUUAAUAAGCUGUAUCUUCCCAGGAAUACUAGUAGCUUAAGUAUGUAAGCAAAGGCAGUGCACUGUCUGUGGGUCAGCUAUCAAAUCUCUCAGACUAUUUGACAUAACAAUUUAGUAUUUAGAAUAUAAUAAUAAGCCAUAAAAAGAGUUAAUUGCUGUGGUCUUCAGCUAAUUCUUGCCAUAAUUAUGACCCAUACCAACCUGUGAACCUGAACUAAGAAGUAACCUAGAGCUCCAUGUAAGACAGUUAUUUCCAAACACUGUAAAUGCCUAAGGGACUCCAUGUUUCCACAAAAUGAAAUGACAAAAGAAUUUCAGCUGGGGUAAAUGCAUAAUUUUUCACUUUAACAUGAUCUCUUAAACUGAAAUUGUUUAUUUUUCUAUACAGAAAAAUAAAAAAAAAUGUUGUUUUUUUUUAAAAUUAAUGUGACAUCUACCUAUGAACAUUAAAACAGCAUAGUUCAACACUGCUGGUCAGGUGUUCUGUUUUAACAAAAUAUCAACCCA